AAAAGAGUUGAAACUUCUACUUUAAUAAUAUAGACUAGAACUUGAUCCGCGUGUUCGCGCAUGUGUUAGUGUUUUUAUUUAUGUUGAUUUUUGCUUUCCAUGUGAACAUUAUAUUUUUAGAUGUGUGACCAUUUUGUUAUACAAUUGUAUCGCGAUAUUAAUUUUUAUUUUUUUUUAUAAAAUUUUAUUUGUUUUCCAUUUUAAGUGUUAUAUUUCUUUUAAAAACAACUACAUUACAGAUGUAUCAUAUAUUUGUCGUAAUCUAUUGAUCAUAUUGAAAUUGUUUAGUAAAUAAUAAUAUGGUAUCAAUUUUAACGAUUUUAUAUAAGAUUUUAUUAGUUUUCCAUUUAAAGUGUUCUAUUUAAAAAAAAAAUAAUAUACAUUGCAGAUGUAUCAUAUAUUUGUCGUAAUCUAUUGAUCAUAUUUAAAUUGUUUAGUAAAUAAUAAUAUGGUAUCAAUUUUAACGAUUUUAUAUAAACAAAAUCUGUAUAUUGCAAGUGAAUUUUAUGUUUUUUCAGAAAUAAAGAAGAAAUAUUUAUUUAGCAAUAUGUAAUAUACUUUCUU
rnacentral:lncRNA from 1 species